AGUGAACGCUGGCGGUAGGCCUAACACAUGCAAGUCGAACGGCAGCACAGUAAGAGCUUGCUCUUACGGGUGGCGAGUGGCGGACGGGUGAGGAAUACAUCGGAAUCUACUUUUUCGUGGGGGAUAACGUAGGGAAACUUACUCUAAUACCGCAUACGACCUACGGGUGAAAGCAGGGGAUCUUCGGACCUUGCGCGAUUGAAUGAGCCGAUGUCGGAUUAGCUAGUUGGCGGGGUAAAGGCCCACCAAGGCGACGAUCCGUAGCUGGUCUGAGAGGAUGAUCAGCCACACUGGAACUGAGACGCGGUCCAGACUCCUACGGGAGGCAGCAGUGGGGAAUAUUGGACAAUGGGCGCAAGCCUGAUCCAGCCAUACCGAGUGGGUGAAGAAGGCCUUCGGGUUGUAAAGCCCUUUUGUUGGGAAAGAAAAGCAGCAGGUUAAUACCCCGCUGUUCUGACGGUACCCAAAGAAUAAGCACCGGCUAACUUCGUG
rnacentral:rRNA from 1 species